rnacentral:miRNA from 1 species
CAGUUGGGUCUAGGGGUCAGGA